UGCUCAAAAGGGUAAACCCAUCGAAAGGUGGGGACACAAAGCCAUGGGUCUAAGGUCCUUAAAAGGGCUAUGAUCGCCAGGCUGCCGGC
rfam:Moorella thermoacetica ATCC 39073, complete genome.